rnacentral:rRNA from 1 species
AUUGAACGCUGGCGGCAGGCUUAACACAUGCAAGUCGAGCGAGCGGCGCCCGGGUGAGUAACGUCUGGGAAACUGCCUGCUGGUGGGGGAUAACUACUGGAAACGGUACCUAAUCCCGCAUACGAUUCGAUGUGCCCUGAUGGGAUGAGCUAGUAGGUGGGGUAAAGGCUCACCUAGGCGACGAUCCCUAGCUGGUCUGCGAGGAUGGACAGCCACGCUGGCACUGAGUCACGGUCCAGAGUCCUGCGGGAGGCAUAGGUAGGGGAUUUUUGGCAAUGGGCUCAAGGCUGCUGGAGCAUGGCCGGCUGUGUGAAGACGGCCUUCGGGUUGUAAAGUUCUUUCGUUGUGGAGGGGUUAACUGAAGAAGGAGCACAGGCUAACUGCGUGCCAGCAGCCGCGGUAAUAC